GUCCUUUUUUGGUUCAUAAACAUGAUGUCUGGUAUUCACAUUGUAUCGUGACAUGUGUAUCCCUCAAACUUGCUACAAUGCUGGCAUUAUUACCACAUGGAUA
ensembl:snoRNA